UACGUAGGGACCAAGCGUUGUUCGGAUUUACUGGGCGUAAAGGGCGCGUAGGCGGCUUUUCAAGUCAGCCGUGAAAUCUCCGGGCUUAACCUGGAAAAGUCGGUUGAUACUGUUGAGCUAGAGUGUGGAAGAGGCAACUGGAAUUCCGUGUGUAGCGGUGAAAUGCGUAGAUAUACGGAGGAACACCUGCGGCGAAGGCGGGUUGCUGGGCCAACACUGACGCUGAGGCGCGAAAGCUAGGGUAGCAAACGGG
rnacentral:rRNA from 1 species